rnacentral:rRNA from 1 species
AUGGUCUUUGCUGAUGUGAAGGAGCUUAGACUUGCUAUUACAGCAUAUUCUGUUAAGAACAGAGUUCAGAUCAAGAAGUUAAAGAAUGACAAAACUAGAAUGGAGGUUGUUUGUGAAAGAGGAUGCCCAUGGUGGCUAAAAGCUGGGAAGGACAACAGGACAGGUGGAUUUGUAAUCAAGGCUUACCAUGGAGAGCACAUUUGUCAGAAGAAAUGGAAGAUAAGGCAGAUGACAGCUAAGUUUCUGUGUCAGUAUUUCAUAGAUGAGUUCAGGGAUGACCAGAAAAUGUCACUUGGUACAUUUUCAAGAAAGAUCACCAAGGCAUUCAAUGUGACCCCUAACAGAUGGAAGCUAGCAAGGGCUAGAACUGCAGCCCUGAAAGAGAUCCAUGGAGAUGAAGAACAUCAGUUCAGUAGGCUAUGGGACUAUGGUCAUGAAUUAAGGAGUACAAACCCUGGCUCUACAUUUCUGUUAUCAACUGAGCUGAAGAAAGACCCAAAAUUUCCAAUGGGCAGGAAGUGUCUGAAGACACUGUAUUGGUCUUAUGAUGCAUGUAAAAGAGGUUGGUUAAAGGGGUGCAGGCCUAUCAUUUUCAUUGAUGGAUGUCACAUGAAAACAAGGUUCAAAGGAGUUUUGCUUAGUGCUGUUGGAAUUGAUCCAAAUGACUGCAUUUUCCCCAUUGCAAUGGGUUGGGUGGAAGUAGAAUGCAUAGGAUCCUGGGAAUGGUUUCUGACAACUUUGAGAGAUGAUCUAAACAUCACUAACACUGCUCCUUUCACAAUGAUGAGUGACAAGCAAAAGGGAUUGAUAAAUGUUGUGCAGAAAGUGUGGCCAGAUGCAGAGCAUAGGUUCUGUGUGAGGCAUAUCUAUCAGAAUUUCAAUGAGAAGCACAAGGGAGAGUUGCUGAAGCAAGACCUGUGGGCCAUUGCAAGAUCACCGAACAAAGUGAAGUGGAGCCAGAACUGUGAGAAAAUGGAUGCAGAUAGUUCAGCUGCAUUUCAUUGGACUGAAAGACUUGAUCCAAAGACUUGGUGUAAAGCAUUUUUCAGUGAAUUUCCCAAAUGUGACAUUCUACUGAACAAUAAUUCUGAAGUGUUUAACAGUUAUAUCCUUGAUGGCAGAGAGAUGGCAGUGUUGUCAAUGCUUGAAUAUAUAUUCUACAAAAUCAUGCAAAGGCUUGUGAGCAAACAAAGAGAGGCAAUAGAAAAGUGGGCAGGGCAGAGAAUAUGCCCAAAGAUCAAGAAGAAGUUAGACAAGAACACUGAAUUUGCUGCAAAUUGUCAUGUUUCAGAAGCUGGCCAACAGAAAUUCAGAGUUCAGUCUGGAAAUUCUAGCUACUCAGUGGACUUGUGUUUGCAUACAUGUGAUUGCAGGAGAUGGCAGUUAUCUGGUGUGCCUUGUGGCCAUUCCAUAGCAUGUUGUAGGGAAGAAAGAAUUGACCCAGAGUUAAUGGUUCAUGACUGCUACACUAUGGAGAAUUAUUUGAAAGCAUAUGGCUACACACUGGUCCCUCUAAGAGACCCUAAAUACUGGGAGGUGCAUCCAGGAUACAAGGUAUUUCCACCAGUGUUCACCAAACAGCUGGGCAGGCCAAAGAAAAACAGGAAAAAAACACCUGAAGAGAAAAUCAAACAUGGUGUGAGAUAUUUGAACAAGAAAGGUGUUACAAUGCAUUGCUCCAUAUGUGGCAGAGCUGACCACAAUAGAAAGGGCCAUUACAGAUGGCAGGAAGCACUUGUUGAAGAAGGUGUAGAGCUGGUUGAUGAAAAUUAUGAUGAUCCUACUUUUCUGCAGAACAUAUACCCCACCAGGCCAGAUCCUAGGUUAGAUCCUAGUGAGUCACCCACCAGCAUGGUCUUCAACAUGGCUACCAGGGAUAGAGCUAGAAGAGGUCAACAAAGAGUUCAUUGCCCAUUGCCAGAACAGUCUUCAUUUGUUGCAGCUACUGGUGCUGCAAUACCACAGCCAAGGGUCACUACAGAGAUGAAGAUUGCUAGACAGACAAGGGCAAGAACAACAGCUGACAGGGGAGAAGGAUCUAAAGCUACUGGCAGAGGAAGAGGAAGGAAAAGGAGAGGAAGAGGAGAAGGAAAUCCACCAGCAAGGAGAGGAAGAGGAGCAAAUGCUGUCCUUGGAAGAGGAGAUAAUGCAAUGCUUGGAAGAGGAGCAAAUCCAGUGCUGGGAAGAGGAUCAAAUGCUCAUGCAGUUCCAGCAAGAGGAGGCAGAAAUGUGCAUGCUUGGAGAGGCAGGGGAGGAAUUCCAGGUGCAGGUAGAGGUAGGGGAGGAAGAAAUGCAGAUGCAGGUACAGGAAGAGAAGCAAUCCCAGGUGAGAGGGCAUGGUGGCUGAUGUUUGGAGAAGAUAUGAGCAACAGCCUAAUUCCUGAUCUAAAUGCCCCCCCUGAUGCUUGA